UGUAGCCUAACAAAGGAAAAGGAUUGAGAGUGGGACUCACAGUACGUACUUCACCUAAAGUAGCAUCAAAAAUACCACCGAAUACAGUAGCUUUUAACACAAACAAGAAAGCACCUACUCCUAAGAAAAUGAGGUGAUGACCGAAAAUAAAGGUUAACUUGUUGCCAUCAGACCA
rnacentral:antisense_RNA from 12 species